UAAUCACAGCAAAUCGCAUUGAAACAAAAUUACCCACUCUCAUUCCUUGAACGAUUUGAAAGUAACAUGAGGGAGAAUCCAGGUAUUAUACUUUCUGUAACAUGAGGGAGAAUCACCUGGUGGAUGUAACAUGAGGGAGAAUCCAGGUAUGAUACUUUCUGUAACAUGACGGAGAAUCACCUGGUGGAUGUAACAUGAGGGAGAAUCCAGAUAUUCCAGAUGGAAUUGGAAUGAAUGGAAUAACCAAACAAUGGACAUACUAACUAUAGAUGCAAUCAAGCUUCUAGUAGAAGGAACUAUAGACUUAUCCCCAUGCGUCCAAGUAUUCUUUAUAUCGACAUUUGGGAGCAACCCUGAACAAUCUACACUAUUUCAACUAGAGAUUUAUGAUGGUACACACAAGCACAAGCCAGCGUUGCCCAAGAAGUAUAAUGAUUACAUAAUCUCCAAAGAGAUCAAGGUCAGAUCCAUAGUAAAGUUGUCAGAGUACAAUUGUCCCAAGUCAAGUAAGACAUGAUGAGAGGAGCAUUUAUCGAUUUCAAUGUCCUUCUCACAAAUGCCGAUUGAUAUAUAUAUGUAAGCAAGGAGGAUCAAGCAAUACUUUGAUCAGUCAUGUCUAUCAGACAUGACCGAUCAAGACAUUAUUUGAUUGCAUUUUUUGGAUUAUCGUAGUAUUUACCAGUCGGUGUAUAUCGCUUAACAAACCACCCAAUACUUAAUUGGUGUGUCUAUAAUAUGAAAGAUAACUGAUACUAAUUGGUAUGUAUUAGUUAAGCCCGAUAACAAUCAAUGUUAACA